rnacentral:snRNA from 1 species
GUGCUCGCUUCGGCAGCACAUAUACUAAAACUGGAACAAUACAGAGAAGAUUAGCAUCGCCCCUGUGCAAGAAUGACAUGCAAAUUCGUGAAGUGUUCCAUAUUUAA